AUCAACUUUCGAUGGUAGGAUAGAGGCCUACCAUGGUGGUAACGGGUAACGGGGAAUUAGGGUUCGAUUCCGGAGAGGGAGCCUGAGAAACGGCUACCACAUCCAAGGAAGGCAGCAGGCGCGCAAAUUACCCAACCCCGACACGGGGAGGUAGUGACAAUAAAUAACAAUACGGGGCUCUUUCGGGUCUCGUAAUUGGAAUGAGUACAAUUUAAAUCCCUUAACGAGGAACAAUUGGAGGGCAAGUCUGGUGCCAGCAGCCGCGGUAAUUCCAGCUCCAAUAGCGUAUAUUAAAGUUGUUGCAGUUAAAAAGCUCGUAGUUGAAUUUCGGGAUUGACACAUCGGUCGUGCCCUAAGGGGUAUGAACUGGUGUCGUCAGUUUCUCACCUUCUGGAGAACCGCGAUGUCCUUAAUUGGGUGCCGCGAGGAACCAGGACCUUUACUUUGGAAAGAUUAGAGUGUUUAAAGCAGGCAUUUUGCUUGAAUACAUUAGCAUGGAAUAAUAAAAUAGGACGGUUGGUUCUAUUUUGUUGGUUUCUAGGAUCACCGUAAUGAUUAAUAGGGAUAGUUGGGGGCAUUAGUAUUCAAUUGUCAGAGGUGAAAUUCUUGGAUUUAUUGAAGACUAACUACUGCGAAAGCAUUUGCCAAGGAUGUUUUCAUUAAUCAAGAGCGAAAGUUAGGGGAUCGAAGACGAUCAGAUACCGUCGUAGUCUUAACCAUAAACUAUGCCGACUAGGAAUCAGACGAUGUUAAUUUUUUAAUGACUCGUUUGGCACCUUACGGGAAACCAAAGUGUUUGGGUUC
rnacentral:rRNA from 1 species